rfam:Ciona savignyi cont_31241, whole genome shotgun sequence.
GUCGUCGUGGCCGAGUGGUUAAGGCGACAGACUAGAAAUCUGUUGGGCUCUGCCCGCGCAGAUUCGAAUCCUGUCGGCGACG